UACGGAGGGAGCGAGCGUUGUCCGAAGUUACUGGGCGUGAAGCGCGCGUAGGCGGGGGAUUAAGUGAGAAGUGAAAGGCUGGGGCUCAACCCCAUGCAGUGCUUCUCAUACUGGUCCUCUUGAGGGCGGUAGAGAGAAGUGGAAUGGCUGGUGUAGCGGUGAAAUGCGUAGAUAUCAGUCGGAACACCGGUGGCGAAGGCGGCUUCUUGGGCCGUUUCUGACGCUGAGGCGCGAAAGCCAGGGGAGCGAACGGG
rnacentral:rRNA from 1 species